GAAAACCACAUAGAUGCAUCUGUUAUUAUUAGCAGAGCAGCUGGCCACAAAAAAACAGAGCAAAGACAUGCACACCAUUCCAUGUCUGUAACAUUCAGUCUUCUCUGCAAAAAUGCAAAUCCCCGUCACUCCGCUGUGCAAAAGGUGUAUGAGGGUUGACUAUUUUGAACUCCACUUGUUAUUGGCUUUUUUGGUCUUUACCCAAGAACUGAAGAGCAGAUUCACAAUGAUUCUCAUCCUCUUGAUCACAGCAGCUCUGCUAACAGGAUCUUUUGGAAAAGGUACAUUUUAGUGUAAAAUCAUACAUUGAAGCUAGGCAUAACUUGACAAUAUAGCUUUGUGCUAUAAGACUUUUAAACGUGCAUGCUUGUUUUAAAACUUUUUUUUACCAAGUUAUCCCACAAGAUGAAGCAUUUUAACUAUAUACAUAUGGAUUGACUUGUUUGAUCUUUGACCCAUUUGCAAUUUUGACCUUUAGCCAAGAACUAGAGAGCAGAUGUAAGUAUAACAAUUGAUUUUUUUAACCCGAAUGAAUA